AAAAAACACCGAAAAAUUUGUUAAGUCGUUGUAAAAAGCACUGAUCGGGUGAUUUAGCCCAUUUAAUCACUUUCUGACAAGUAGGACAGGAUAGUAACAAGCCGACUUGGCAAAGAAUUGACACAAACACCCAUGAAAUCCAAAACAAAAAGCAAUCAACCCCCCCUAUGGACAACUACCAGGGAGCUCCUCCAUGCCGCGCACUCUCUUCAUCCCCUUCUUGUUGCUGCUCGCCGCAGUUUGUCGCCUCCCGCCCGACCUGCAGCGCCUCCGCCCUUGCCUCCCUUGCAGCCCCAUCGGACGACCACCUCCGCCACUUGCCUCAAGACGUCCGCCGUCCUAUACGACCACAACCCGGUUUGCCAACCACCAUGGCCGCCUGCGCCGGUGACCCUGCCUGCAGCCUCCCAUGGCGCCCCUCGCUGGAGGUCAACGACAAGCUCACGGGGCGUGCUGCUUCUCGUCCUUGCCUAGGAGCGACGACGUCCGCUCCAUGGACUGGCCGCAGAGGUCGGGCAGCCGAGGCCACUCGGAUCCUGGCGGCGCACGCAAUCGUAAGGUAGGAGAAGGGCAUGGCGGCUCAGGGCGUCCGGUUCAUCGCGCAUGAGGAGGAACUGCUGCGGUAAAAAGCCUGCUGGCAGAGGGACGAUACCUCGCCGGAGGUCAGGGGCGCGAGCUCUACCGGAGGUCCUGGCCGGCAUCGUGGACGACGCAUGGCGUGGAGGAGGAGAAAAGGCGUGGCUGGCGGUGGGCUUUCGGCCGCGGCGACAGGAGCCGGUGGGGGCGGCGCGGUCGGGUGCAAGGGGUGGCGGCUGUAGCCUCCUCCCGAUCGGAUCCAGAGAAGGGGAUCAAGAGCAGGGGGUUGAUUGCUUUCUAUUUGUGGAUCCAGAGGUGUGUAUGUAAUUAUUUUGCCAACUCAGCUCCUUACAAAUUGGCCCUACCUGUCAAAAAGUGAUUAAAUGGGCCAAAUCAUCCGAUCAGUGCUUUUUGCAACGAGUUAACAGAUUUUCCAGUGUUUUUUGCAACGGAUUAGCGAGCUGGUGGUUUCCUGCAAAUCUAGCCGCAAAUGUGGUGGUUUCUUGCAAUUGACUCCUCAUGACGAGCUGGCAAUGAUACUCGUCCUUCAUGUUUUCUGAGAGGUUGAAGAUGAUGUUCGACAAGUUUUGGGCAUUGAUGAGUUUUUCUAGUCACUCUUCAUGUCCUCUGAGAGGUUGAAGAUGAUGUUCGACGAGCUCUGGUGGUUUUUCUAAUCGUUUCUUAGGUUUUUGUAACUGAAGACAUUGCAUGUGUGUGCAUGCUUGCACAUGACUAGAAGCCGCUGGAAGCAUUUUAUAAUUUUCUGUCAACCUUAGUAAUGAUUAUCAGUGUUGAAGUUGUUAGUGUUCUUUUUCUUAUUAUUUUCUUGGUUCUCUGUUUUAGGCUGCUGUGCCUAGCUAUUAGUUGCCCCUAUAGCUUGAGUGUUCUUCUACAACAAAUCUGAGGAGGAGAUAAUCCGCCUUUCACUGGUUAGUGUUCAGUUCAUUGACACACUUUUCAAGGGAGCAGAAGGCCACUCAAUUCGAGAGAGUAGGAGAUGCACUGAGACUGAAGACAGUGGCCCUACAGUGAGGCCUCGAACAUGAGCGACCCGGAGCCUGUGACAACACGACAAUGGUGUCGUGUGUGGAGAGGAGGUAGAGGUUGACGGUUCAGGUACGGGUGGGGUUGCCAUCAUUAGAGAAGAACACGAGCUGAAGAGAUUUAAAGGGACAACCAGGGUGGAUGCACGGCGGCGGGCGGAGGCCAGUGGAGGGCGAGGCGGCAGGUGGCUCGGACGGCGGUAGAUCUGACGGAUACAAGACAAGAUCAACCAUUUGAUUUGGAUCCAGACUCAAAAUUGACUUGCUCCAAAUGUUUUCUCAAGCAACUUCUGGAUAGUCUGUCCCUAAGAUUAUAUUAAUCUUGGAUUUGUCAGCCUAGUUCUAAGUUACCCCAUAUACACAAGGACUCUAAGGGUGAUCAAGCCAUAGAAUUUUCAUUUGAAUUUA